GACGAACGCUGGCGGCGUGCUUAACACAUGCAAGUCGAACGGUGAAGCGCCUUCCUUUUUGGUGGGUGUGGAUGAGUGGCGAACGGGUGAGUAACACGUGAGUAACCUGCCCCCUUCUUCUGGAUAACCGCAUGAAAGUGUGGCUAAUACGGGAUAUUCUGGGUCUGUCGCAUGAUGGGUCUGGGAAAGAUAUUGUUUCGGUGGGGGAUGGGCUCGCGGACUAUCAGCUUGUUGGUGGGGUGAUGGCCUACCAAGGCGGUGACGGGUAGCCGGCCUGAGAGGGUGGACGGUCACACUGGGACUGAGACACGGCCCAGACUCCUACGGGAGGCAGCAGUGGGGAAUAUUGCACAAUGGGCGCAAGCAUGAUGCAGCGACGCCGCGUGAGGGAUGGAGGCCUUCGGGUUGUGAACCUCUUUCGCCAGUGAAGCAGGCCUGCCUCGUUUGUGGGUGGGUUGACGGUAGCUGGAUAAGAAGCGCCGGCUAACUACGUG
rnacentral:rRNA from 1 species